GGCAUGGGCAAACGUUGAAACGCCCCCUAUCUCGUCUGAUCUGGGAAGCUAAGCAGGGUCGGGCCUCGUUAGUACUUGGAUGGGAGACCACCUGGGAAUACCGGGUGCUGUAGGCA
rfam:Cricetulus griseus cell line CHO-K1, whole genome shotgun sequence.